GUCUCACAUCUCCUUCAGAACUUACGCUGGAAAAACUCCAACAGCUUCAUAUGGACAGAUGGACUUCAAACGCUGUUUGUAUUCCAGAGACUAGGGAGAGUUGGCCCUAUGCAUGGAGAAACAGCUGGACUUUCCAAGGAAGGUUCAGACUAGCUGUGUUCAGCAUUCAAGAAGGGAGAUCCUCCCUCUUGCACAAUUAGAGUGUCCCCAUCGGUCUCCAGUGCGGCAUCCCUUCCUUGCCUUCUACCUCCGUUCCACCCCCUCCUUCCUUUCGUCUCUGUACCAUUCAUUCUCCCUGACCCGCCUUUCUUGCAGAGGGUUCUGUGGCUCUUACCCUUGUGAAGCUUUUCCUUUAGCCUGGGACAGAAGGACCUCCCAGCCCCCAAAGGAUCUCCCAGUGACCAAAGGAUGCGAAGAGUGAUAGUUAUGUGCUCCUGACUGAUCACACUGCAGACAUUUAGAUUUUUAUACCCGAGGCACUUUUUUAAAAUGUUUUAUAAAUAGAGAAUAAAUUGAAUUCUUGUUCCAUAAA
rnacentral:sRNA from 1 species